GCAACCUGGUUGAUCCUGCCAGUAGUCAUAUGCUUGUCUCAAAGAUUAAGCCAUGCAUGUCUUAGUGUAAAUAACUCUUAUGAAACUGCGAAUGGCUCAUUAAAUCAGUUAUAGUUUAUUUGAUAUUACCUUUACAAUGGAUAACCGUGGUAAUUCUAGAGCUAAUACAUGCUAGACAAAUCCCGACUUCUGGA
rnacentral:rRNA from 1 species